UGGGGAAUGUUGCACAAUGGGCGCAAGCCUGAUGCAGCCAUGCCGCGUGUAUGAAGAAGGCCUUCGGGUUGUAAAGUACUUUCAGUCGGGAGGAAGGUGGUAAGGUUAAUAACCUUGGCAAUUGACGUUACCGACAGAAGAAGCACCUGCUAACUCCGUGCCAGCAGCCGCGGUAAUACGGAGGGUGCAAGCGUUAAUCGGAAUUACUGGGCGUAAAGCGCACGCAGGCGGUUGAUUGAGUCAGAUGUGAAAUCACCCGGCUUAACCAGGGGAUUGCAUCUGAUACUGGGCAGCGAGAGGCUUGUAGAGGGGGGUAGAAUGCCAUGUGUAGCGGUGAAAUGCGUAGAGAUGUGGAGGAAUACCGGUGGCGAAGGCGGCCCCCUGGACAAAGACUGACGCUCAGGUGCGAAAGCGUGGGGAGCAAACAGG
rnacentral:rRNA from 1 species